ACCUGUGUUUCUCUCUCUCCUUUAUCUCAGGAGGGCGGCACCCUGGCUGUGUGUGACUGUCAGAACACGCCUUGAUCUCCGUAGUGUUGUGAUGCGUCAUAUUCACAAAGCAGCAGUGAUGACAGAACGCACUUCAGAAACUAUUUUGAGAAAUCAACCUACAUGUAAAAUAAUACAAGAAGAGGUCGUCUGAAAGUCUCGGGCAGAAACAGUGUACUUACAGCUGACAGAACACACAAACUUCCCAGAAUCAUGUGAGGUUGGUCAAGUCAAUGUUUAUGUGAAGGCUUAGCACACAUGUGAUGAUGUUUAGCAGUGACGGUGUCGUGAAGUGAUUUCGGUCUGUGGUCACACUCACCACCAGAGAGGAAU